AACGAACGCUGGCGGCGUGCCUAACACAUGCAAGUCGAACGAGAAAGGGACUUCGGUCCUGAGUAAAGUGGCGCACGGGUGAGUAACACGUAGGUAACCUGCCUCUAUGACUGGGAUAACCUGUCGAAAGACGAGCUAAUACCGGAUAAGACCACAGUUUCUUCGGAUGCAGAGGUCAAAGGUAGCCUCUAUUUAUAAGCUAUCACUUAGAGAUGGGCCUGCGUACCAUUAGCUAGUUGGUAGGGUAACGGCCUACCAAGGCAAAGAUGGUUAGCUGGUCUGAGAGGAUGAUCAGCCACACUGGAACUGAGACACGGUCCAGACUCCUACGGGAGGCAGCAGUGGGGAAUAUUGCGCAAUGGGCGAAAGCCUGACGCAGCAACGCCGCGUGAGUGAUGAAGGCCUUCGGGUCGUAAAGCUCUGUCGGAGGGAACGAAUGCUUUUGAGGUUAACAGCCUCAAGAAGUGACGGUACCCUCAAAGGAAGCACCGGCUAACUCUGUGC
rnacentral:rRNA from 1 species